rnacentral:rRNA from 1 species
AUUGAACGCUGGCGGCAGGCCUAACACAUGCAAGUCGAACGAGUGGCGGACGGGUGAGUAAUGUCUGGGACACUGCCUGAUGGAGGGGGAUAACUACUGGAAACGGUAGCUAAUACCGCAUACCAUCAGAUGUGCCCAGAUGGGAUUGGCUGUUUGGUGGGGGAACGGCUCACCAAGGCGACGAUCCCUAGCUGGUCUGAGAGGAGGACCAGCCACCCGGGAACUGAGACAUGGUCCAGACUCCUACGGGAGGCAGGAGUGGGGAAUAUUGCACAAUGGGCGCAAGCCUGAUGCAGCCAUGCCGGUUGUAUGAAGAAGGCCUUCGGGUUGUAAAGUACUUUCAGCGGGGAGGCGUUACCCGCAGAAGAAGCACCGGCUAACUCCGUGCCAGCAGCCGCGGUAAUAC